GAGACCUGGCGCCGGGCGCUUUGAGGCCCGGCUUACUCCCUUGCUGGGUAUGGGGAAGGGGCGUCUUCUGUCCUUGUGGUCCGCUUCUAGGCUUUUUGGAGCAUCUUCCAGGGUCACUCCAGAGACCCCCCCAGACUACUGAAUCUGAAUCCGUUAGGGUGGUCCAACCUUCCUCUUCAGGUGUCUACUAGAGGCAAGGUUGGAUGUAUGCGGCUGCCCUCAGUACAGCCCCUUCCUUGUUUUUUCUUCAUUUGUGUUUACUUAAAACAUUAAUCCUUUUCUCCCUCUCCUCCAUCCCUCUCCCUCCCCUACUAUACAGUUAUUGACUUACACUAAUUCAUUCCCGAUGAUCUCCCAGAAGGAAAUAAGUGUCUGUCUGUCUCUGUCUCUGUACCAUCGUCUUCUUGGUACAGUUCGGACUAUUUUUUCUCUACACCCCAGUUAUGCAAAGUGUAGUCCCUGAACCAGCAGCCUCAGCAUCCUGAGGGAAUUUGUUAAAAACGCGAAAUCUCAAGCCCUACCCAGACUUACUGAAUCAGUGUCUGCAUUGCAACAAGAUCCCCUGGUAAUUCCUAUGCACAUCAAAAUUUGGAAGGCACAGCUCUCAACUGAUGUCCUGGGUCUCCUUCACAUCCAUCCUGGGAAGGUCUUAUUCCUCAUUCCUGAGCUCAUCCCACUGAAGAGCUAUGGCACUUCCAAUUCCUGAGCCUUUGUGAGGUUCUGCGUGUCAGUAAGCUUGCUUCCGGGCAUCACCUCCGAAAACACUUGGGUUUCAGUUUUCUCUGUGAGGCUUCUUAAGGAGUGGAGGAAAGUGGAUGUUUUCAAGAUAACGCAGCUAACAUUCAAAGAGGUUAAGUGAAUUGUCCAAAGUCACACAGCAAGCACUGGAGGCUGGAGUGCAAUGGUGUGAUCUCAGCUCACUGCAACCUCUGCCUCUCAGAUUCAAGUGAUUCUCCUGCCUCAGCCUCCCAAGUUGCUGAGAUUACAGGUUCUUCAUUUGUGAACAAAUGACAUUUUAUGCUGAAGAUAGGCUUGCACCUGAGAGUCAACAACAGGGCCUUGUUAGAUCUGGGCUGUGCAAUGUUGUUAAGCUGUCCCAUGAUCCAGCAGAUUAGAGCAUUAGGGACACCCUGACACACUGAAGACUUGACAUCACUUCAGAUGAAAAUGCUAAGAUUGAUCUCAUUGCCACACGCCCCGACGACUGCCUGAUGUGCAUUCCUGAUUCCUUUUGGUUCCAAGUCCAAUGUGGCAACUCUCAAGGAUCAGCUGCUUCAUAAUCUUCUAAAGGAAGAACAGACCGCCCAGAAUAAGAUUACAGUUGUUGGGGUUGGUGCUGUUGGCAUGGCCUGUGCCAUCAAUAUCUUAAUGAAGGACUUGGCAGAUGAACUUGAUCUUGUUGAUGUCAUCGAAGACAAAUUGAAGGGAGAGAUGAUGGAUCUCCAACAUGGCAGCCUUUUCCUUAGAACACCAAAGAUUGUCUCUGGCAAAGACUAUAAUGGAACUGCAAACUCCAAACUGGUAAUUAUCAUGGCUGGGACAUGUCAGCAAGAGGAAGAAAGCCGUCUCAAUUUGGUCCAGCGUAACGUGAACAUCUUUAAGUUCAUCAUUCUUAAUGUUGUAAAAUACAGCCCGAACUGCAAGUUGCUUAUUGUUUCAAAUCCAGUGGAUAUCUUGACCUACGUGGCUUGGAAGAUAAGUGGUUUUCCCAAAAACCAUGUUAUUGGAAGUGGUUGCAAUCUGGAUUCAGCCCAAUUCCGUUACCUGAUGGGGGAAAGGCUGGGAGUUCACCCAUUAAGCUGUCAUGGGUGGGUCCUUGGGGAACAUGGAGAUUCCAGUGCACCUGUAUGGAGUGGAAAGAAUGUUGCUGGUGUCUCCCUGAAGACUCCGCACCCAGAUUUAGAGACUGAUAAACAUAAGGAACAGUGGAAAGAGGUUCACAAACUGGUGGUUGAGAGUGCUUAUGAGGUGAUCAAACUCAAAGGCUACACAUCCUGGGCCAUUGGACUCUCUGUAGCAGAUUUGGCAGAGGUACAGUGAAGAAUCUUAGGCAGGUGCACCCAGUUUUCACCAUGAUUAAGGGUCUCUAUGGAAUAAAGGAUGAUGUCGUCCUUAGGGUUCCUUGCAUUUUGGGACAGAAUGGAAUCUCAGACCUUGUGAAAGUGACUCUGACUCCUGAGGAAGAGGCCUGUUUGAAGAAGAGUGCAGAUACACUUUGGGGGAUCCAAAAAGAGCUGCAAUUUUAAAGUCUUCUGAUGUCAUAUCAUUUUACUGUCUAGGCUACAACAGGAUUCUAGUUGGAGGUUGUACAUGCUGUCCUUUUUAUCUGAUCUGUGAUUAAAGCAGUAAUAUUUUAAGAUGGACUGGGAAAAACAUCAACUCCUCAAGUUAGAAAUAGGAAUGAUUUGUAAAAUCCACAGCUAUAUCCUGAUGCUGGAUGGUAUUAAUCUUGUGUAGUCCUAAACUGGUUAGUGUGAAGUAGUUCUGCCACCUCUGAUGCACCACUGCCAAUGCUGUACAUGCUGCAUUUGCCCCUUGAGCCAGGUGGAUGUUUACCGUGUGUUAUAUAA
ensembl:lncRNA novel transcript